rnacentral:rRNA from 1 species
CAGAGGUUCGAAGGCGAUCAGAUACCGCCCUAGUUCUGACCGUAAACGAUGCCACCUGACGAUCCGCCAGGGUUACUACCAUGACUCGGCGGGCAGUCCCCGGGAAACCCAAGCCUUCGGGUUCCGGGGGAAGUAUGGUUGCAAAGCUGAAACUUAAAGGAAUUGACGGAAGGGCACCACCAGGAGUGGAGCCUGCGGCUUAAUUUGACUCAACACGGGGAACCUCACCCGGCCCGGACACCGCGAGGAUUGACAGAUUGAGAGCUCUUUCUCGAUUCGGUGGGUGGUGGUGCAUGGCCGUUCUUAGUUGGUGGAGCGAUUUGUCUGGUUAAUUCCGAUAACGAACGAGACUCUAGCCGGUUAAGUAGCCCGAGCGGUUUUUGAUAUUUGCCGUUCAUCCCCGUUCGACCUUU